GAUGAACGCUGGCGGCGUGCUUAACACAUGCAAGUCGAACGGUGAACGAGGGAGCUUGCUCCCUCCGGAUCAGUGGCGAACGGGUGAGUAACACGUGAGCAAUCUGCCCUGGACUCUGGGAUAAGCGUUGGAAACGACGUCUAAUACCGGAUACGAGGCGUGGGGGCAUCCCCAACGCCUGGAAAGAACUUCGGUCCAGGAUGAGCUCGCGGCCUAUCAGCUAGUUGGUGAGGUAACGGCUCACCAAGGCGACGACGGGUAGCCGGCCUGAGAGGGUGACCGGCCAAACUGGGACUGAGAAACGGCCCAGACUCCUACGGGGGGCAGCAGUGGGGAAUAUUGCACAAUGGGCGCAAGCCUGAUGCAGCAACGCCGCGUGAGGGACGACGGCCUUCGGGUUGUAAACCUCUUUUAGCAGGGAAGAAGCGAAAGUGACGGUACCUGCAGAAAAAGCACCGGCUAACUACGUGCCAGCAGCCGCAGUAAGAC
rnacentral:rRNA from 1 species